GUCUGGAUCUGAACCCUGUUGAGCUGGGUGCUGCACUUUGUGAAAAAUUGUGCUAUCUCUGAAAGAGCUUGUGAUCUAAAUGGUUAGUAGCAGGACUGACAGCUUGGUGACACUAGUGACAAAAGGUUGUUUAACACAAAUCAUGGGACCUGGCAUGGCAGGACCAUUAUGGUAGAGACAGGACUGCCUGCACUACUUCCACCUAAAUUCACUGCUGACUUUCCUCCCACCCCUAUAAAGGAAUUUUCCAUCUGCUGCUUAUGCCAGUAGGGCAGACACUUCUCCAGUAAACAUUCACCUCCAGCAGAACCACAGAGUGGCGUUUACUGCCCCUGGAGAAACCACUGUGCCUUUGAAGCAUUGAGGCCCCAAGGCUCAAUGGAAUUGAAGAGGCAAAAGAUGAUGGACAGAAGCAGUGUUUUUUGCUUUUCAAAUAAUUAGGGUACAGAGGU